rnacentral:rRNA from 1 species
GAUGAACGCUGGCGGCGUGCCUAAUACAUGCAAGUCGAGCGAACGGACGAGAAGCUUGCUUCUCUGAUGUUAGCGGCGGACGGGUGAGUAACACGUGGAUAACCUACCUAUAAGACUGGGAUAACUUCGGGAAACCGGAUCUAAUACCGGAUAAUAUUUUGAACCGCAUGGUUCAAAAGUGAAAGACGGUCUUGCUGUCACUUAUAGAUUGAUCCGCGCUGCAUUAGCUAGUUGGUAAGGUAACUGCUUACCAAGGCAACGAUGCAUAGCCGACCUGAGAGGGGGAGCGGCAACACUGGAACGGAGACACGGUCCAGACUCCUACGGGAGGCAGCAGGAGGGAACCUUCCGCGAUGGGAGAAAGCCUGACGGAGCAACGCCGCGUGAGUGAUGAAGGUCUUCGGAUCGUAAAACUCUGUUAUUAGGGAAGAACAUAUGUGUAAGUAACUGUGCACAUCAUGACGGUACCUAAUCAGAUAGCCACGGCUAACUACGGG